rnacentral:rRNA from 1 species
GAUAGGUGGGAGGCUUUGAAGUGUGGACGCCAGUCUGCGUGGAGCCGACCUUGAAAUACCACCCUUUAAUGUUUGAUGUUCUAACGUGGACCCGUAAUCCGGGUUGCGGACAGUGUCUGGUGGGUAGUUUGACUGGGGCGGUCUCCUCCUAAAGAGUAACGGAGGAGCACGAAGGUUGGCUAAUCCUGGUCGGACAUCAGGAGGUUAGUGCAAUGGCAUAAGCCAGCUUGACUGCGAGCGUGACGGCGCGAGCAGGUGCGAAAGCAGGUCAUAGUGAUCCGGUGGUUCUGAAUGGAAGGGCCAUCGCUCAACGGAUAAAAGGUACUCCGGGGAUAACAGGCUGAUACCGCCCAAGAGUUCAUAUCGACGGCGGUGUUUGGCACCUCGAUGUCGGCUCAUCACAUCCUGGGGCUGAAGUAGGUCCCAAGGGUAUGGCUGUUCGCCAUUUAAAGUGGUACGCGAGCUGGGUUUAGAACGUCGUGAGACAGUUCGGUCCCUAUCUGCCGUGGGCGCUGGAGAACUGAGGGGGGCUGCUCCUAGUACGAGAGGACCGGAGUGGACGCAUCACUGGUGUUCGGGUUGUCAUGCCAAUGGCACUGCCCGGUAGCUAAAUGCGGAAGAGAUAAGUGCUGAAAGCAUCUAAGCACGAAACUUGCCCCGA